CAGCACCUCAAGUGGUCAGGAUGAUUAUUGGGCCUAAAGCAUCCGUAGCCGGCGCUGUAAGUUUUCGGUUAAAUCUGUACGCUCAACGUACAGGCUGCCGGGAAUACUGCAGCGCUAGGGAGUGGGAGAGGUAGACGGUACUCGGUAGGAAGGGGUAAAAUCCUUUGAUCUAUUGAUGACCACCUGUGGCGAACGCGGUCUACCAGAACACGUCCGACGGUGAGGGAUGAAAGCUGGGGGAGCAAACCGGAUUAGAUACCCGAGUAGUCC
rnacentral:rRNA from 1 species